rnacentral:ncRNA from 1 species
ACAAACAUCGUAAGGGAAUCGGGUUAAUAUUCUCGAACCAAGACAUGGAAUUGGAAAACAAUGUUAGGAAAUCUGGAGACGUCGUCGGGAGCCCCAGGAAGAGUUAUCUUUUAUUUUUAAUGGCUUUCCUACUUUGAAAUUGGUUCAAACAGAGAUAGGGUUCAGUAGCUGGAAGAGCACCGCAAAUAUUUCAGUGUUCGAUGCCCUGUCAACGACCAUUGAAAAUAUGGAGGACCAAGUACCAUCCAUGCCCGAUCAUACUCAUAAUUGCAUCAGGUAUCCAAGGUGAACAACCUUUGGUUAAUAGAACAAUGUAGGUAAGGGAAGUCGACAAAAUGGAUUCGUAACUUUUGGAAAAUGAUUGGAUCUAAGGAUUUGGCCUAGGUGUCUACAUCUUCAACUUGUGGGCAUUCGACAGUCUUCUUGAGAUGCUCUUGAGGUGAGGGCGGGUUGUUGUGUUUCGAUUGGGCUAUGGACAUAUAAUGUCCCCUUGUGGGGGAUUUUCCGUAGGCGGCAAAAAGUCGACUCAAAACUGGUACGGAGAAGGGGAAUUUGACUUUUUAAUUAAAAAAAAGAAUUGUGAUGGUCCCCAGAUGAUGAUGCAAUGUGAUUUCCUCCCAGUGCUCUAAAUGUCAAAGUGAAUAAAUUCAACCAAGAGAAAGUAAACGAUGAGAGUAACUAUGACUCUAUCAAGGUAGCCAAAUUCCUCAUCAUCUAAUUACUAGCGUGCAUGAAUGGAUUAACGAUAUUCACAUUGUCCCUAUCUACUAUCUAGUGAAACCACAUCCAAGGGAAUGGGCUUGGUAGA